UACACUAACACUUUUACUGAUAUCUGAUGCUACUAUUAUAUGCCUAUUUAAUAGCGUACUUUACUGGGUUAUUCGUAUUUUUGCUAUAAAAUAACAUAGUUUUGGUUCCUGCCCUAUUAAAAUGCUAAAAAUGUCUCUGUAAAUGCCUAAUUCGUCUGUAAAGAAGACAUUUUGCAUAUAUUUCGCAGUAUCGCCAUUAUCAGCUGUACAGCUGCUCGAACAAAAAUGGCGUCCAUGCACUCGUAAACAAUAGACAAGUUAGUUGCUUAACGUGUGAUUUCUAUGGAAUUUGGUUACGAUAGGCUUUGCUAGAGGAAAAUUAAAUAUUGCUUGCAGCAAAACAGAGUGUACCGUCGACAUAGCGUUUUCUGUUACUUAUUACACUGUACAGUCAUUUUAGUCUUGCUAUUUUAAACACAGAACCAAUCAAACAUGAUUACUCGGCUUAUGCAAACUGCUAUAUGGUAACUGUAAAUAUAGAUAUAAAUAUAGUCUAUGUCUCAUGGGGAAAAAACGAAGAGUUUAUGAUCUGAAACCUGGAUAGUCACAAAAACUAGUUCUCCACCAAGCUUGGUAAGCUAUUUUGUGUGGUUAUACACUGAUUCCUAGGAAAUAACUUUUAAUAAGUUGCUGCAGCCAUUUACAGUAUUGCGAAUAUCUUCUAAAACGUUUUGAUUUGCUUAUUUAUCAAAACUGCAACAAUAAACCGCUAACAGGCCGGGAUUUUUCUCAGUUAAUUGAUGAUGACUUAUCUCAAUCAAUUGCUGAUCAUUUUCAGGGAGAUACUAGUAACGGAUGACUGUCUGAAAAUGCAGUGGAAUAUUUUAUAUUUUGCACGUAUUUAUGAAAUGAUGAAGUUGCAAUGAAAGCACAACUGGAAAAACCUGCACUGAUUAACAACAAGGAAACUAAAGUGUUUUGGAAUGAUGUGUAUACACUAUGUGCUAAACCAAUUAAUUGCUGAUCAUUUCCAGGAAGAUACUAGUAACGGAUGACUGUCUGAAAAUGCAGUGGAAUAUUUUAUAUUAGGCACAUUGGAUGAAAUAAAUUCUCAAUCAGGUGAAACAAGAUUCGGUUCGACUUCAUGUUGGUUUUUAAGAAGUUUAUUGGAAGGGUCCUGAAAUUAGCACUGCAAAUCAAUCAUAUGAGUUUCUGAAAAAAAAAAUAAAAAAAAAUGCGACGCGGCAUUUUCUCUUCAGUGUUAUGGAGCAGUCACUUCACCAUUUAUCUGAAUUCCAAAACAGGAGAAUUAACAUGGUAAUAAACUGCUGAAAAGAGUAUAUAUUUAUGCUUAAUACCCUUCCUAGACACCCAGUUUGGCAUAAAAGUUAAACAAACUGACACUGUCAGCUGUGGAGUUUUGUGUUUGCCAGACUGUAGAAGCUCUUUGCUUUUCCACUAGGUUAACUCUUGUUUCUGCCAUAACCCGAGAGUGGAUUUUUUAUUGUUUGUACUCGCGGGCAAAACCGUGUGAUGCAAAAUUUAAUAAAAGCCUUCAUUGCAUUUGACUCCUGUUCGAAUGACGAAAGCUGUUUAGACGACGAGGAAUUAAAUUUGCCACAGAAAAUUAUAAUACGAAUAAAGAAAAAAAAUUGUUAAAAACUACUUAAAAUAUUUGAAUGAAUUUGUAGUGACGAGUAUCUGCUUGCUUUGAAGGAGUAUGUUAGCUGUGGCCGGCAUGUUUACCAGAGGUUAUCAGACCGCAGAAAAAUAAGAAAGGCAGCACAGAAAUUUGUGAUGCAUGGUAUUUGAACAAAACUUACUUACACUUGCGCUUAUACAACUUACACAGAAAAAUGUNUNUAAGAGGGCAAGAUGUUCAGGACUGGAGAUGGUAACCGGGCUCAGGUUUUGUACACGAAGGAGGAGCAACAGAUAGCAUUAAAACAGUGCCACGAUGAUGAAGGUACCGGUGGCCACAGAGGCACCGUUAUCACCC